GAUGAACGCUGGCGGCGUGCCUAACACAUGCAAGUCGAACGGAGAUUACGGACGGAAGUUUUCGGAUGGAAGACUGUAAUUCUUAGUGGCGGACGGGUGAGUAACGCGUGGGCAACCUGCCCUAUACAGGGGGAUAGCAGCUGGAAACGGCUGGUAAGACCGCAUAAGUCGGUUAAAUCGCAUGAUUUGAUCGGGAAAUGAGCAAUCAGGUAUAGGAUGGGCCCGCGUCCGAUUAGCCAGUUGGCAGGGUAAAAGCCUACCAAAGCGACGAUCGGUAGCCGGACUGAGAGGUCGGACGGCCACAUUGGGACUGAGACACGGCCCAAACUCCUACGGGAGGCAGCAGUGGGGGAUAUUGCACAAUGGAGGAAACUCUGAUGCAGCGACGCCGCGUGAGUGAAGAAGUAUUUCGGUAUGUAAAGCUCUAUCAGCAGGGAAGAUGGUGACGGUACCUGACUAAGAAGCCCCGGCUAACUACGUG
rnacentral:rRNA from 1 species